UGCCUAAACCUCAUCAGAACUCCCCAAAUAAUCCAAAACCAACACUAGCAACUUUUGAUACACUAUUUGAACCACCACUAACUUUCAACACCAUAUUGUGUAUUGUUGAGUAUGACUCUUAUUUCAGUCAAAUUUAAGAAAUAAUCUUUCAGUUAAACUCUGUUUAAUUGUUUCAAUUACACCCUGAUUAGUCUAGAUUAUUUUAUUGUUGAG
rnacentral:lncRNA from 1 species